UAUCGAGGUCGACGCUGCAACUUGAAAGAACGGUACAAAAGGAUGAAAACAUAUCAAUGUUGGAUAACACAUGACAAGACAGGACUGAUGGAAACAGAACAUUUGUCAGUAAACUUUCCAAAUGUUGACAAAACAAAGGUUUUCACAGCGGAUGAAACGACAUCUACGGUGUGACUAAGACAUGCAGAAAGGAAACCACUGAAAACAUUGAAUGAGAGCAGAUGAGUGCAGUACACCUAUCCAGCCUAUCCGAUGGCCAUAUGGGGAAGCAGAGGUAAUGAGGUAAUGUAAAGAAACCCUUCCCUAUCGCCCAGUGUAUUCAUCUAGUCUAAUGCUCAUUGAACAAUAACAUCAACCCAGGAGGAAAAGAGAUACAUUUUUGA